rnacentral:rRNA from 1 species
GACGUAGGGCGCGAGCGUUGUCCGGAUUUCUUGGGCGUAAAGAGCUCGUAGGCGGCUUGUUGCGUCGACUGUGAAAACCCGCGGCUUAACUGCGGGCUUGCAGUUGAUACGGGCAGGCUAGAGUUCGGUAGGGGAGACUGGAAUUCCUGGUGUAGCGGUGAAAUGCGCAGAUAUCAGGAGGAACACCGGUGGCGAAGGCGGGUCUCUGGGCCGAUACUGACGCUGAGGAGCGAAAGCGUGGGGAGCGAACAGG